CCCUUAGAUGUUCUGGGCCGCACGCGCGCUACACUGAUGCAUUCAACAAGCCUAGCCUUGACCGAGAGGUCCGGGUAAUCUUUGAAACUGCAUCGUGAUGGGGCUAGAUUAUUGCAAUUAUUAAUCUUCAACGAGGAAUGCCUAGUAAGCGCAAGUCAUCAGCUUGCGUUGAUUACGUCCCUGCCCUUUGUACACACCGCCCGUCGCUCCUACCGAUUGAAUGGUCCGGUGAAGCGUUCGGACCGUGGCCUUUGGACGGUUCGCCGUCUGUUGGCUGCGGGAAGUUCGUUAAACCUUAUCAUUUAGAGGAAGGAGAAGUCGUAACA
rnacentral:rRNA from 1 species